CUUAUGCUCAACCAACAAGCAAAUUAAUCAUACUAGCUAAGCAUCUUUGUGCCUUGAUUUUUUAGCAUUUUUUGUGUAAUGUGACAAUGUGUGUUUUUCUUUUGUUUCUACUGAUCACUGUGUGCAAUUUCAUGUGUAGGCCGCCUGUGCUAAAUGAACAAACAAAUUAUCCAUUUUAGUUUAAUAUUUUUUUGUUCUGGUUGCACCAAUUCAUAUUAAAAUGGUAACAUCUUGUAUUUGCAGGUUAAUCAAAAGCAAUGCAGAUUAAUUAAGCUUGAUAAAUCCAUUUCAAGAUACAAAGGAUCUUUAGGAGAGGAGCAUGGAGUGACAUGUUAUGAACAGACUUCUUGAAAGACCGUACGACAAACUUAAGGUCAUAAAAGGAGCUCAUCAAUUAUGCAAGUAUGAAGUACGCUGCAUUUGUGAUAAUAUGCUUGUGACAUGUCUGUGUAAUCCCACGAAUAACCAUGCCGUUUAAUUUCACUUGUGAUGUUAUAUUUUUGGAUUUAGCAUAGGGUGGACGUAAAUUUGUUUGUGUAUAAUUGCUUAUUAUAUACCCUAAUUUUGACAUAUUAGAUUGAUGUAUUUGCACACGAGGUGAUCUGGAAUCUUUAUUA